AAUUAAAUAUUCAUGUAGCUCUCUCACAUAGACCACAUUUUAUAUUUCAUUAGGUGACUCUUAAAUAUCACCAUAAAAUUGUCGCCGUACAAAGUGUGAAUAACUUUAUAAUUAUUGCAUAAAUAUGUUAACCUACUGACGUAUACAUCGAUCUUCGACUGAAUUCAUUGUCACUCUGGUUUAUAAAUAUAUCGGCAGAUAGCAGUUUAACUGUAGUUGGUCAGGCGACACGACAAAGGAAACAGUACAAUCAAGAUGUUGCGGGUGAUUGGCCUUUUACCAUUGCUAGUCGUUCUGACUGCAUGCCAGCCAAUUUACAAUCGGAUGGUGAAUCCAUAUAGGAUGGGCCAUCCAUUGGCAGGCCGCGCCCACUGGGGCUCACCUAUAAACAACAACCCUUGGGUAAAUAGUCAGCUCAUAAGUGACAUGGAAGAAAGAAACCAGCAGAUACAGAGUGAUCUACAGGGGCAUAUUGACCAGGUAAUGAGUGACCGACAGUCACAAAGAGACCAAUUCCUCAGCGACAUUAGAGGAAGUAAUAAUAGAUGGUCCUUGUGGUAGAGAAGCUACCGAGUGAUUCGGAGACACUACAUCAUCUAAAAUAGUAAAGCCACUGUUGUUUGUCGUAAUGUAUAUGCUACUCUAUAUUUACUAGAAUUUAUAUAGUACACAACUAGCUUUUGAAAUAUUGUGAUCUUUAUAUCGCUAGUGACUUUGAUAAUCUGCUACAAUCCUCGUGUACAGUUCUUUUCCAUCUCGUACCAAGAUGUAUAGCUUCCUAAGCGUCCACAACAGUAAUAUCGCACCAGAUGAACAAUUGUCUCGUACAGUUUGGUAUAUGAUAAUAAACAGUCGGUUAUUACAUU